rnacentral:rRNA from 1 species
AUUGAACGCUGGCGGCAUGCUUUACACAUGCAAGUCGAACGGUAACAGGUUAAGCUGACGAGUGGCGAACGGGUGAGUAAUGCAUCGGAACGUGCCCGAUCGUGGGGGAUAACGCAGCGAAAGCUGCGCUAAUACCGCAUACGACCUGAGGAUGAAAGCGGGGGACCGUACGGCCUCGCGCGAUCGGAGCGGCCGAUGUCAGAUUAGGUAGUUGGUGGGGUAAAGGCUCACCAAGCCAACGAUCUGUAGCUGGUCUGAGAGGACGACCAGCCACACUGGGACUGAGACACGGCCCAGACUCCUACGGGAGGCAGCAGUGGGGAAUUUUGGACAAUGGGCGAAAGCCUGAUCCAGCAAUGCCGCGUGCAGGAAGAAGGCCUUCGGGUUGUAAACUGCUUUUGUACGGAGCGAAAAGGUUCUCUCUAAUACAGAGGGCUCAUGACGGUACCGUAAGAAUAAGCACCGGCUAACUACGUGCCAGCCGCCGCAGUAACAC